rnacentral:lncRNA from 1 species
UGUCGCCAUACGGGGGGUGAGGGGGGAUUCUCCCCCCCCCCAAUAAAGAUUCAGUUGGAAAAUUUAUUAAGAGAAUUAUAAAUCCCGACUCCGACUGGAAAAGAAAUAAAAUUUAAAAAAAUAAAGUUAAAAAAUAAAGUUUGGGUUGAAUUUCUUUCAUUUCUUUGAAUUCGUUUUCUAUGUGGCAAUGCCGCGCCGCCGCCGCCGCAACCGGCAACGCGUCAAUUAAAUAACUUGCUACGCCUACGUGUGCCGCGUGCCCUGGUUGAGUGAUUCACAAUUUGUUACACGUUUGGGGAAUCGCCGAAAAUAUAUUUUGUACUCUGUUUGGUGUAAGCUGUAAGCCGGGUUCAGGUUUUAUUUGGUGUUAAGUGAAUAAGUGCGAGUGACCGAAUGGGUUAUAAAAACACAUUUUAAUUAUUAGUGUUAAUUUACUGCUACACUGGUAAAUUAUAUUAAAUAUUAUUAAUUACAAUUUGUUUGAAGCAGUUGCGUGGAGCUGCAAUUCAUUAUUCGAGUAUUAAUUAAUUUGACUGAGUAAAUGCAGUUUGGAAAUUUUGGACUUUUAUCUUUGGCAUAAUUCUACUUGCGGUAAACCAUAAAUUAAAAGAAAAAUUAAACCUAAAAGAUACAAAGUGCAAUGCUGCGAAUGUAAAUCUGUGUUUAACAAUGAUUUUAAAAGUCAACAUGAAAAAGUUAAACAUGGUGGAAAAAGAGUAUCCAUACAAAAUAUUGGGGCGCCUGCAAACCCAUUUGAGGCUGCGUUAAAGAAACGGAAAUAUGAGGCAGAAACAGAAACUAUAAUUGAGGUAAGAUAAAACCGAAAUAUUUAUAGGUGUAUAUAGGCAUAAUAGAAAAAGUUUACUGCAAUAUCCAUAUAAUUUUUUAAAUAUUUUUUGGUAUAAUUUGGCCUAAUAAUAAUCCUUUUACUUAAGGCUACUUCUACUGCUUCUGACACCGAUUCCGUUCGAAUAAGCUCUAACGAUAGCCCCUACAAAAAGAUCGAUGGGAGUGAAAAUACUGAUGUUAGUGAAAAUAUGGACCUGAAUAUGCCAUUGAAUUGAUAAGUGGGCAACUCUAAAGAAAAGGCGAAUAAUUUUAAAAUAACAUUUUAGGGCUUAAAUAAAAUGGAAGAAUACGUAAUAUCGUCUUUUUUUGUAAAUAGUCUUUCAGGUAACAGGAUUAGGACAAAAAAUCUCCAGAGUUUUUCUUUUUUAUUUUUUUUUAAACUGCCGACGUUUCGACUUUAUUUAAAAUUUGUAGUCUUUUUCUUUGUCCUAAUCCUGUUAAUCUAAACAACUACUUAUGUAAAUAUAAUACGUAUGAAAUAAGGUAAUGUUAUAAAAACGCUGUGUAUUUAUUUUAUGUUUUGAUUAUAGUAAAGUUAUUACUUACAUAAAAUAUGUUUAUUAUUAUAAUAACUAAUUAUUCUGAAUUUUGGAAAAAGGUGUACCUAUGUAAAUAAAAUAAAGUAUGAGAGUUG